rnacentral:rRNA from 1 species
CGCAAGCCUGACGGAGCAAGACCGCGUGCGGGAUGACGGCCUAAUGGUUGUAAACCGCUUUUCUCUGGGAAGAUGAUGACGGUACCAGAGGAAUCAGCCUCGGCUAACUCCGUGCCAGCAGCCGCGGUAAUACGGAGGAGGCAAGCGUUAUCCGGAAUUAUUGGGCGUAAAGCGUCCGUAGGUGGUUAUUCAAGUCUGCUGUCAAAGCGUGGGGCUUAACUCCAUAGAGGCAGUGGAAACUGAAUGACUAGAGUGCGGUAGGGGUCGAGGGAAUUCCCAGUGUAGCGGUGAAAUGCGUAGAUAUUGGGAAGAACACCAGUGGCGAAAGCGCUCGACUGGGCCUGCACUGACACUGAGGGACGAAAGCUAGGGGAGCG